rnacentral:rRNA from 1 species
GAUGAACGCUAGCGGCAGGCCUAACACAUGCAAGUCGAGGGGUAGAACACUUCGGUGUUUGAGACCGGCGCACGGGUGCGUAACGCGUAUGCAAUCUACCUUGUACAGGGGAAUAGCCCAGAGAAAUUUGGAUUAAUGCCCCAUAGUAUAUAACCUUCGCAUGUUGGUUAUAUUAAAGUUCCAACGGUACAAGAUGAGCAUGCGUCCCAUUAGUUAGUUGGUAAGGUAACGGCUUACCAAGACGAUGAUGGGUGGGGGUCCUGAGAGGGAGAUCCCCCACACUGGUACUGAGACACGGACCAGACUCCUACGGGAGGCAGCAGUGAGGAAUAUUGGUCAAUGGGCGCAAGCCUGAACCAGCCAUGCCGCGUGCAGGAAGACGGUCCUAUGGAUUGUAAACUGCUUUUAUACAGGAAGAAACAACUCUACGUGUAGAGUCUUGACGGUACUGUAGGAAUAAGGAUCGGCUAACUCCGUGCCAGCAGCCGCCGUAAGAC